rnacentral:rRNA from 1 species
GACGAACGCUGGCGGCGUGCUUAACACAUGCAAGUCGAACGGAAAGGCCCUGCUCUUGUGGUGUGCUCGAGGGGCGAACGGGUGAGUAACACGUGUGUAACCUGCCCUUGACUUUGGUAUAACUUCAGGAAACUGGGGCUAAUACCGGAUAGGCGCUCCUGCUGCAUGGUGGGGGUUGGAGAGUUUCGGCGGUUGGGGAUGGACUCGCGGCUUAUCAGCUUGUUGGUGGGGUAGUGGCUUACCAAGGCUUUGACGGGUAGCCGGCCUGAGAGGGUGACCGGCCACAUUGGGACUGAGAUACGGCCCAGACUCCUACGGGAGGCAGCAGUGGGGAAUAUUGCACAAUGGGCGGAAGCCUGAUGCAGCAACGCCGCGGGCGGGAUGACGGCCUUCGGGUGGUAAACCGCUUUCGCCUGUGACGAAGCGUGAGUGACGGUAAUGGGUAAAGAAGCACCGGCUAACUACGUG